UACGUAGGGUGCAAGCGUUGUCAGGAAUUAUUGGGAGUAAAGAGCUCGUAGGCGGUCUGUCGCGUCUGCUGUGAAAACUCAGGGCUUAACCCUGAGCUUGCAGUGGGUACGGGCAGACUAGAGUGCGGUAGGGGAGACUGGAAUUCCUGGUGUAGCGGUGAAAUGCGCAGAUAUCAGGAGGAACACCGGUGGCGAAGGCGGGUCUCUGGGCCGUAACUGACGCUGAGGAGCGAAAGCAUGGGGAGCGAACAGG
rnacentral:rRNA from 1 species